CCUCUCGGCCUCUCCUCGCACCGUUCCCAGGCACGCAGCGCUCGCCCUAGCCGACACGCAGGCACGCAGCGCCGCCGGAGGCCGAUGUCAACCGUCGGAGGCGACCCUGGCGGCGACGCCCCAUCCCCCACGCCGGCCGCGCCCGGCCUCCCGCGAGCCCCUCCUCUUCCGCUCGGAGGGAGCAGCAGCCGAGCAGGAACGAGCAACACUGGCGGCGGCCCCCCGCCACCCGCGCCGGCGGUGCCCGGCCCCGCACCCGCCCCUCCUCUUCGGCUCAGAGGGAUCAGCAGCCGGGCAGGGACGGGCAACCCUGUCGGCGGCGCCCCGCCCCCCGUGGCACAGAAACAGAAGAUGAAGAGAAGUGGAAUUUUUGGCAGUAGCAUAUUUGCAAUGUGGGAAAAGGCUUCAAAGGCAAGGAAAAUAAACGAAGUAUCCACGCCGAAUCAGACAGUAGCUACAUCUUGUACUUGUACUUCUCCUGUUCAUCUUGAGAGCAAUUUGCAGUUGUGCUUGUGGAGACAAACAAGCAUGAAUAAUAUCAUAUUGUUUACAAGCUUCUUAAGUUGGUAUUGAUUCUGCUAGUAGCUACUGCUAGUGUUGAAAGGGUAUUCUCUUCAAUGAGCCAUGUGAAGAAUAAGCUAAGGAGCAAAAUGGGUGAUGAAUAUUUGAACAAUUGUUUGGUUACAUUUGUUGAGAGAGAACUUUUCAAUCAAGUGAAGGAUGAAGAUGUCAUCAAUCUCUUUCAAAAAGGCGACCGCAAAGUUAUAUUGUAAGAAGGAUAACAUCACUUUAUCAAUCAAAAGGUACUUAUGUAUUUA